UCCUUCUUCAACUGGUGGAUGUUCAGCAUCUUCUUUGGCACGCUCUUCUCCAACACUUUCCUGAUUUACCUUCAGGACCGUGUCGGGUGGACGCUUGGCUAUGGACUCCCCACUGCAGGGCUUGGGUUGUCCAUAGUUGUGUUCUUGUUUGGGACUCCUUUGUAUAGGCACAAGCUUCCUGCAGGAAGCCCUUUUACUAAAAUGGCUCAAGUGCUUGUUGCUGCUACUAGGAAAUGGAACGUUGAGCUUCCCGAUGAUCCCAAACAGCUCUAUGAACUUGGUGCUGAUCAGUAUGAUAAGCUCGGGAAGUUCACAGUUGAUCACACCCCUUCCUUGAGGUAAUCCACUGUUUUGUUUUCAUCACUCAUUCCAUAGGCUUAUUCAUCCUAAUAUUUCGAGUUAAUGCAUCCCGACCAAGUGGUUUUGGGAGUGAACUUUCUCUUUGAUUCCAUCGAACUUUUCACUUGCCAAACCAAGCCGGCAUGUGUUAUCCAUAAUUGACUCAGCCAAAGAACUCAAAUUGUUGACACACCAUAAAAAGAAACCAUCUUUCUCCCAACUUGAUUAGAAAUUCUGCAAUCAUGUUCUUGUAAUUAGUUAUAAUAUGCAAAAUUUUGGAUGCAGGUUUCUAGACAAAGCAGCAGCAAGAACAGGGAAAAGCUCACCAUGGAACCUAACACCAGUAACC
rnacentral:lncRNA from 1 species